GUAAUAAUAAUACAACGUAUACAAUGCUCAUAUGUGAGCUAUGAAUAACAAAGAAUAAAAAGUAUAAGUCUGGCUUAUGAGUAUCAUGCAUUUGUAAUAAUUAUGGGUAUUAGAUUUGUUUAUGUCAUGUAUAAGGUUAGUCUAAUGAAAAAUAUUGAGGUUUAUUUUGAAUGGAUUUCUUAAUUUCAAAUUGAAAUAAAGUAUUAGCAAUUGGUCAGCAUUGAAUAGAAAGUUUAUUUAUUGAAUAACUAUUUAGCUAGCAAAAACAUGCUUCAAACAGUACUUCCGAGCAUUCGUCAAUACCACCCACUUUCCAAGAAAUCGAGCAUCUCACAAGAAUCUACCUCAUUAGGACGCCAACCAUAUGAAUGUGUCACGGGUUUCAUCCUAGCAACUGCACAUUUGGUCCAUUUGAUCAGAUCCACCAUUUUGUUUUCGAACCGAUGACCCUUCGUCUAUACUCUCGACUAAUAAAUUUGAUUUCGACGAGACAAUUAUGUCGUUGCUCACCGGUUGAAAAAAAGGAAAAAAAUAGAUUAAUUUGCGGAGAGUGCUAAAGGAUUUGGCUGCUCAUGGCCUCUUGGCCAUAGAUACCAGUGGAUCCGUCCGAAAUUCAAGAUUGCUGGACAGUUACCUUGAGCCAAUUGGACGAAACCGAUCCGUUGUACUUGCGGAAAAAGUUUUUCAAUACAGUUUGGUGUUUGGUGGUGGAGAUCUUCUGUACUCGAGUACACACCGGAGAAAAGCCAUACAAAUGCAUUUACUCGAACGAACGACCAUUCGCACAGCUCAACUAGAUAUUUUACGCUGCACAUCCGGCGGCACACGGAGAAAACGCCGUACGUAUGCGGUAUCUGAAACGAACGAUUCAUCCAGGGGACGGCCUUGCGGCCCAUCAGUGAACCGCAGGUCACUAUACGAAAGACGUAGAUAUGAACGGUAUACGAUGGCGUCACAAUAGUUCGAUUCAGUGUUUGUGUAUUUUUCCUCAAAGCAUGAUGUAAGUGUUUUUCGGUGAUUGGAGAGUUCUGCAGGAGGAUGUUUGGCUGGCACGGAUGAUGAACUGCAGCUCGAUUGUAAGAGCAAUUGUAUAGAGAUUCUAUUUGGAAUCCGUUCUAAAUUCUACAAAAAAGUACUUUAGCUUUUCGAUCUGAAUCUUUCUAGGAUUUUAUGUUCCCUUCGGAAUCCUUUCAAGAUUCCAUUUGAAAUUAUGUCGCGAUUCUAUUCGCUAUAUCCUUUCGGAAUUCUAUUCGGUAUUUCGAGAUUCCAUUCGGGAAUCCUCAGAAGAUUGGAAUUAAGAAUUCUCAAAGAACUUCGAAUGGUAUCAAAAGAUUUCAAACGUUAUCCAGAAAUAAUUCCGAAUGGAAUCCAGAAAAAUCCUGCUGCAAUUAAUAGAAUGUCGCAACACUUAAUAGUUUAAAACAUAAUCCUGAAAGCCGUUCCUUAGAAUAGCUUAUUCCAAUGCCAUGGUCAUCGACUAUUCAGCACCAGCGGGUUCCAUUUGUUGCCUCUUGUCGAUUUCAUGGAGCUCGUAUCUCGCAAACAAUCAAUAAUCAAUUUACGGACGUUACAAUACUCGAAUAGAACGUAUUCUUAAAAUAUUGUACAAAAAUGUAAAAAAGAAUUCUAAUAAAAUAUUUGAAAUGGUUCUGAAUAUAAUUUUACAAUGUAAACAAAACGAAGCAUAUAAAGAACAAAAAGAAGAAGAAUCAAUAGGUACCCAUGUCUCCAUCAUAUCUAGCAAAAAUCUAGAAGAACUGUGGUACUCAUGUCUAGGAGAUAUCUCUGCGUUUUCUAAGAGAACCGAUAUGUCAAAUUUCUUUCGGUUUAAACGGUUCAAACGGUCUACUCGUCUAAAAUUUUGAGGUAGACACCGGUUUAAACGGUUGUUGCAUUUGAGGCGGAUUUGAGGUCUGACAG